rnacentral:lncRNA from 1 species
UAUUACGUAGCGAAACAUAAUAAAUCAUAUAGUCUUAUACAUAAAUGAUAGCAAGAUGUAAAUAACGCUCUCGACGGAAGCUCCACACAGGGACACUGUUGACUGGUUGACUCCAAACCUAGUACUCAUAACAGUAGUCCUCAUUCCAGUCAUCUUCAUUAUCAUAUCCUGAGGUGUUGGGAAAUUGCAAGAGUGAACACAUAUCGUACUCAACAAGUAUAACCAGGGGUUCAUGAGGCUCAAAUAACUGACACAGGUUUGACUGCAUUUAGCUUUUAAUAGUAGAUAGCAUGUUUAAUCAUUGGAUAGCAAAUAUCAAGGUAGCAUAAAUAAUCCCAUAACCACAUUAUCAAUGUAUACAAGAAUUAAGAAUAACACAUAUAAACAAUAUAAUAAACCAUCAUUAAUCAUUAUUAAUCAUGUUCAUCAGUGUCCAUCUAUUCCGUCAGUUUUCCAGGCCGCCCGUAUCCGUGGGCACGGCUAGUAUACCAGAUUUAACACUCUGCAGAGGUUGUACAUCUUUACCCAUGAGUCAUGAUUUACCCUUUCGCCCGAGGUAGCUAGUCUCUUAACCCCCUUCCAAGGGAGGUCGGCAGGGAUCGCUAUGAAGCCUUUCAAAAGUUCGUCUAACAUGUUAGGGCCGCAAGGUUUCCUUUGCGCGCAGAUAUAGAGCCCCCCUUCCGAUGGCACAAUGACUCGCAGCCUAUACACAUACAGAUAGAGGCCACACUAUACCCAAAACGGUUCAGCCCCUCCGCCCUUUCGGGUAACCUCUAACAAGCUAGAAAAGUUCUUCAUACUGAGCUAAAGCCAGAGCCAUAUAGCCCUCAUGGUUGUACGAGUUGUCCCUGCUUUUGCCAAGGGAUAAGUCCUUAUGGAGGGUCAAGAUCAAUCUAGCAAAAGCCAGAGUUCUUUCCACCCUUUAUAUUCAAGUUGCUAGAAAGCUUAUUUUAUUGUUUAUUGUAUAUUCAAAUAUUCAUGUUACAAGAUCAUGGAUUAAUAAUCAAGCACUAGCAAGAACUACCCAAAUGCAAAUCCAAAUAGGUAACAAGGAAUUCAGGAUAACAAUCAUCUAUGAUUUUGCUAAGGUCAUCAAGGUGGACACAUGCAUAUGAUAAAUGUUAUAUUAAUUGUGUAUAGGUAACAAGGAUAGUCCCAAGUUAUACUUGCCUUGCUCAAAGCUCUCCUGAGCCUGCUGGUCCUCAAAGGCUUGGUCUUGAUCACUAACGUACGGCUCACCGUCUAUUCCCAAACAUCAAUCAACAACACGCAAUCCAAUAGAGACAAUCAUACACAAAGCAAACAAGAUAUAAUUAGAACAUUACACCAACAGUGAUAAAUCAAAGAUAAAAGUUUAUGAAAAUAUUCUACGCAGCGCUACGAUCACACAAACGUAAAGUUCACGAAAAUCGGAAUUAAAACGUGGAAGAUAUGAAUUUUCUAAGAUUUCUUAUAGAGAAAUAAUUAAUUUAAAUGCUACUGCAGAAUUAAAAAGUUUCAAAACAGAGAAUAAAUAGUUCUAACACGUAGAGCUUGUAAAUACGAAUCUAACGAAAUUUGAAUGGACAAAAACGGAGUUAAAACGAAGAAAAUAUGGCGUAAACAAACUAGUGUAUUUUCUUUGUAUUACUAGAUUUAUUUUCCUAAAGGAAAACGGCAAUAAUGCUGGGUUGACGUCAUGGUGAUGUCAUCGUGAUCUCAUCAUGCUAAUUAGCCAUCGCAGCAGAGCAGACAUGAAGAUUACGCAAGACUUAUCAAUUGCAGAUGAUGAGGUCGAGAGUGCCUGCUGCAGCCCACACAGUAAGAGCAGAAAGGCGGACUCCCCUAGCUCUUAUUAGGAUCAAAACAGAGACAAUGGAGAACUCAUCGCAAGCGAUUUCGUGAUGAAAAAAAAUACAAGGCGAGGAUGUCGGAUGGCUCGGAGAGGCAGGGACGGGUUCCUCAGAACGAAGCUUAGCGUCCUGCUUGGUUCAUCGGAGAAGCGGCUCCGAAGGACCAUCUUGGCUCCUCGACGGGAUACUCGGCGGUGACUCAGAGACGAUGAGGAAGCCACGAACGGCGGUCACCACGGCGGCGAGCUGAGCUAGGGCUUCGGAACGGCGCUGCAAGGUCGAGAAGAGUCGGCGGCUUGCCUAGGGUUAUAAUAGACGAUGCGCACACAUGGCUUGGGUUUUACGCAAUAUCCUGUAUGAUUUGGAAUUUGCAUCGACUUCCGUCGGCUUGGAGUCUGAGCAGAGCACGGCAGGAGAUAGAGGAAGGUGGCUGACAU